GUGGGGAAUAUUGGGCAAUGGGCGAAAGCCUGACCCAGCGACGCCGCGUGAAGGAAGAAGGUCUUCGGAUUGUAAACUUCUUUUAUCAGGGACGAAAGAUGACGGUACCUGAUGAAUAAGCCACGGCUAACUACGUGCCAGCAGCCGCGGUAAUACGUAGGUGGCAAGCGUUAUCCGGAUUUACUGGGUGUAAAGGGUGUGUAGGCGGGACUGCAAGUCAGAUGUGAAAACUAUGGGCUCAACUCAUAGCCUGCAUUUGAAACUGUGGUUCUUGAGGGUCGGAGAGGUAACUGGAAUUCCGUGUGUAGCGGUGAAAUGCGUAGAUAUACGGAGGAACACCAGUGGCGAAGGCGGGUUACUGGACGAUACCUGACGCUGAGACACGAAAGUGUGGGGAGCAAACAGGAUUAGAUACCCUAGUAGUCC
rnacentral:rRNA from 1 species